GACGAACGCUGGCGGCGUGCUUAACACAUGCAAGUCGAACGGAAAGGCCCCUUUGGUGGUACUCGAGUGGCGAACGGGAGAGUAACACGUGAGUAACCUGCCCUUGACUUCGGGAUAACUUCAGGAAACUGGGGCUAAUACCGGAUAGGAAUCUUUGCUGCAUGGAGGGGGUUGGAAAGCUUCGUCGGUUUUGGAUGGACUCGGGGCUUAUCAGCUUGUUGGUGGGGGAGUGGCUUACCAAGGCUUUGACGGGUAGCCGGCCUGAGAGGGCGACCGGCCACAUUGGGACUGAGAUACGGCCCAGACUCCUACGGGAGGCAGCAGUGGGGAAUAUUGCACAAUGGGCGGAAGCCUGAUGCAGCAACGCCGCGUGCGGGAUGACGGCCUUCGGGUUGUAAACCGCUUUCAGCAGGGGCGAAGCUUGUGGUGACGGUACCUGCAGAAGAAGCACCGGCUAACUACGUG
rnacentral:rRNA from 1 species